UACGGAAGGCAGCAGUGGGGAAUAUUGCACAAUGGGCGCAAGCCUGAUGCAGCCAUGCCGCGUGUAUGAAGAAGGCCUUCGGGUUGUAAAGUACUUUCAGUCGUGAGGAAGGUGUUAAGGUUAAUAACCUUAGCAAUUGACGUUAGCGACAGAAGAAGCACCGGCUAACUCCGUGCCAGCAGCCGCGGUAAUACGGAGGGUGCGAGCGUUAAUCGGAUUUAUUGGGUUUAAAGGGUGCGUAGGCGGCCUGUUAAGUCAGGGGUGAAAGACGGUGGCUCAACCAUCGCAGUGCCCCUUGAUACUGACGGGCUUGAAUUAACUAGAGGCAGGCGGAAUGUGACAAGUAGCGGUGAAAUGCAUAGAUAUGUCACAGAACACCGAUUGCGAAGGGCAGCUUGCUAUGGGUUAUAUUGACGCUGAGGCACGAAAGCGUGGGGAUCAAAC
rnacentral:rRNA from 1 species